rnacentral:tRNA from 1 species
UGUCGUAUGGUUUAGUGGUUAGAACGUCGGGCAGAUGCUUUUUAACGCUUUUUAAGGCCCGGGUUCGAUCCCCGGUACGACCU